rnacentral:rRNA from 1 species
UGACCUCGGAUCAGGUAGGGAUACCCGCUGAACUUAAA